rnacentral:rRNA from 1 species
GACGAACGCUGGCGGCGUGCCUAACACAUGCAAGUCGAACGGAGUGUUUAUUUAUAAACACUUAGUGGCGAACGGGUGAGUAGCGCGUAGACAACCUACCCUCUAGAUGAGGACAACACCGCGAAAGUGGUGCUAAUACCGAAUGUUGUAAUGUUGUUGCAUAAUGAUAUUACUAAAGGUGGCCUCUAUAUAAAAGCUACCGCUAGAAGAUGGGUCUGCGUCUGAUUAGCUAGUUGGUGAGAUAACAGCUCACCAAGGCAAUGAUCAGUAGCCGGUCUGAGAGGAUGAACGGCCACACUGGGACUGAGACACGGCCCAGACUCCUACGGGAGGCAGCAGUGGGGAAUCUUCCGCAAUGGACGAAAGUCUGACGGAGCAACGCCGCGUGAGUGAAGAAGGUUUUCGGAUCGUAAAGCUCUGUCUUCAAGGACGAAUGUAGAUAUUGUGAAUAAUGAUAUUUAAUGACGGUACUUGAGGAGGAAGCCACGGCUAACUACGUGCCAGCCGCCGCCGUAA